GACGUAGGCGCGGAGCGUUGUCCGGAUUUAUUGGGCGUAAAGAGCUCGUAGGCGGCUUGUCGCGUCGUCCGUGAAACCUGCGGCUACAACUGGCAGGCUGGCGGUCGAUGACGGGCAGGCUGGAGUUCGGUAGGGGAGACUGGGAAUUCCUGGUGUGAGCGGUGAAAUGCGCAGAGUAUACAGGAAGAACACCCGUGGCGAAG
rnacentral:rRNA from 1 species